AUGUAAUCUUAAAAGUCAUCUCAUGUACUUUGAAAAUAAUAUUUAGCGCCACAACAAGUGGGGAAAAGCAGACAUGUUGUCAUAAAAGAACAGACGUCAGACCUGUGCGGUUUACCUAUGCAGGUGUUAAAAAAGAGGAGCCGUCAGUCAGUCACUUCAUCACAGAAGUAGACAUUAUUCUGUGUUUGGAUCAUCUGAAGGAACAGACAUAGGAAUUUGGUUUUGCUAAAUCUCCUUUUGAGUGGAAAACAACGUUACAUGAAAAAUUCCAUCAAUUAAAAUGUCUGGACGGGUCCUCAAGAGUGUGGCCUGCCCUUUAAGUUAAACUGUAAAUGCAGCUGGAUUUAAUGUAAGUCUGGGCUCAGACACUGUCCAGCCAAAAGGAAGUCAUAAAUCAAAGCUAAGAGCAAAAUAUAAACCUUUUAUUUUUUAACAGCUUUCAGAGACCAAAAGGUCAGGAAAUGGUGCCCAUCUUCAUCUCCUAAAUUCAAAAGGCCACUAUUCACAGCAGUAUGGGUUUUGGAAAUUUCCAUGAAUCCUGGGUUUCAAAGGUUCAAAAAGCUAACGGCAGUCAGAAAUGCCAGGAUGGAACGCUGCCUGCAGCUUUAAGAUUUCUGAACUCAUUCCAGGUCACAUGUUUUGGCUGGCUGAGGGAAUAGUUUACAAUGAAAAGGCACUGCAACUUUCCACAUAUAGGCGUGCGCACUGGAUCCCCAGAACCGCUGUGGAGUGCUGCGUCUCUGCAGGGCUGGCAUAACAGACGUGAGUGGGAAGCCUUGCAGUGAAGUCACGACUGCAGCAGUGGAGGCUGCUCAGUCCUGGAGAGCUGCCUCUGAAAAGGUUGUUCUGCAGCUGGAAUAACAGGCAGGAACCCGUUCUCAGAGCCGUCCUCUCCAGCAUGUUGGAACCUGAGCAAACUUUCUGCAGGGCAGGAAAGCCUUGGCACUGCAGGAAGAAGCACGCUGCGCUUUGGCACGGCCUACUGCUGGAUCCCAUGUCGGCCUGUUAAUCAACACAACCUUUUUUGGCCUGGAGGGGGGCCGUGGGAUCAAUUGACGAAAAGCGAGCGAGUGAAUUCAACAAAGUCGAACGCCGACUGCAGCUCGGAGCUUAACGUCUGCAAAAGAAGGGUAUCCAUCCAGGGUUCAUACACUAAUGUAAAGCUGCUCAUCCUCUUCACAGUGAACAUGUAGCAGGUGUCUGGAUUCAUAACAUUUGUUGACUCAACUUGACCCAUGUUUAAAAUGAUCAUUUUAUUUUUUUUGUCCUGUCCAGCAAAUGAAUAGACAGAUUGCAGCCAAGUGCCUGUUGUGAUGGACACACACUCCUUCAAGUGUGUUCAUGUAAACCCCUUUUGUAACUGAAGCUGAAGUUUAUGUAUUGGAAGACUUGGGAGAAACCUGUUCCGAGUCAAAGAACCAAAAAGGAUGUGUCGCAUAUUUUCCCAAACGCAUAAGCUUUGAGUGUGUCCCUUUCAGAGUUAACUCUGGGCAUCCGUGAUCUCAUCAGAGUGGAAUUGCAGGAAAUUCCUACAGAAAUUGGACAUUUUAUCUGAAUUAAAGCAGGUUUAAGCAAUUUUGUGCAUUAAGAUUAAAGCAAGUUGACGAGAUAUAACGCAG